UUGCUUUUAUUCUAGGUUAGCCAUGCUUUGUACUGAGGAGUCUUCAAUGUGCUGGUAUGAGUUGUUGAGUGUCAUCUGCCUUUGGAGAUUGAUGAGAGCUUACUGCAAGAUGAUCUUGUUGGAGUGGCUUGUUUUUCCAGCCUUUAAUCUUUAUAAAAACAAUUAUCUUGGAAGAUACAGGGAAUGGCAACAAUGGUUCGCUUUUGAAUGCUAUUAUUAUUUUAUUAUUAUUAUUAUUAUUACCUGUUAAGUCU
rnacentral:lncRNA from 1 species